UGUGAGCCUGCCUUCCUGCAGGGAGGGGCGCUGUGGGUGGAGGCAUCAGGGUAUGGGGGGCACAACACAGUCUGCCAUCCUGGGUGGGCUGUGUCCCCUCCAGACUCCCCGUGAGUCCCCCUUGGUCCUUUCCCAGGUCCUAUUGAGAAGCAGCCACAGAAAGCCAGGUUGGUGGCUCUGGGCACAAGGACCUCUGUUUCCACACGCAGCCUGGCAGGCUGGCCCUGACCUUGUCACGCCUCUGAGCUCUGAGGAUGGAGGGCGUGGGUAUUGAGGGCCUCGUCCUCUGAGGUGCUGCUGACCCCGUGCAUGUCUUCCUUGCAAGGUGCCACAGUGUAGGCACGAGUCACAGCCCAGCAGGAGCUGCUGUGGUUAAGAGGUGCCAUCCCCAGGGACCAUGCUAUCUGUCUGAAUUUCUCCAGUGUGGAGUGUCACAGGGAAGCAGAGCAGGUUGGCAGCUCUAGCUGGCCCCACGGCUGGUGCUUUGGUCUUCCACGAGCUGCCUGAGAUGGGGCCAGGGGCAGAGGCUCACUGAAGCACUGGGCGAGUCAAGACCCAUGCAUGCAAUCCCUCCAAGGAACCCAGUUCACAUGUGGGCGAGACCUGGGUCCAGAGGAAGCAGAUGCUGAAGGAGGGCCCGAUGGCUCUCUCCUGCCUGAGAGGGGUGUGUCCCUCAGCCAGUCCCCUCUUGCUGCAGGAGGCAGAGCUCAGGGCUGCCCGAGCCUCUGGAUGUUUUUGACAGGCCAGGAGGCUGGAGGGAGAUGGGCUCUUUCCAUUUCUUAUUU
rnacentral:lncRNA from 1 species